AUGGCCUGGACGCCUCGCCUCCUAGUGCUUCUCUUGUUUUGCACAGGAUCCUGGUCCCAGUCUGUGCUGACUCAGCCACAGUCAGUCUCUGGGAACCUGGGCCAGAGGGUCACCAUCUCCUGCACUGGAAGCAGCUCCAACAUCGGGAGUAAUUCUGUGCACUGGCACCAACAGCUCCCAGGAACAGCCCCCAAACUCCUGAUAUAUUGGGAUGAUGUACGACCUUCAGGGGUCCCUGAUCGAUUCUCUGGCUCCAAGUCUGGCAGCUCAGCCACCCUGACCAUCACGGGGCUCCAGCCUGAGGACGAGGCUGAUUAUUACUGCACAAGUUGGGACAACAGUCUGAGUGGUCCCACAAUGCUCCAAGCCUGUAAGGAAGUGAACAAAAACCCCCUUUCUCUUCAGCCAAGGGCAGGCACCCCUGGCAGCUGCUGCUGA